rnacentral:rRNA from 1 species
UGUGACAUACCUAAAACGUUGCUUCGGCGGGAACAGACGGCCCUGUAACAACGGGCCGCCCCCGCCAGAGGACCCCUAACUCUGUUUUUAUAAUGUUUUUCUGAGUAAACAAGCAAAUAAAUUAAAACUUUCAACAACGGAUCUCUUGGCUCUGGCAUCGAUGAAGAACGCAGCGAAAUGCGAUAAGUAAUGUGAAUUGCAGAAUUCAGUGAAUCAUCGAAUCUUUGAACGCACAUUGCGCCCGCCAGUAUUCUGGCGGGCAUGCCUGUUCGAGCGUCAUUACAACCCUCAGGCCCCCGGGCCUGGCGUUGGGGAUCGGCGGAAGCCCCCUGUGGGCACACGCCGUCCCUCAAAUACAGUGGCGGUCCCGCCGCAGCUUCCAUUGCGUAGUAGCUAACACCUCGCAACUGGAGAGCGGCGCGGCCAUGCCGUAAAACACCCAACUUCUGAAUGUUGACCUCGAAUCAGGUAGGAAUACCCGCUGAACUUAAGCAUAUCAAUAA